UAAAAACAAGGCAAUGGUGUUCUGCCUAUUUGAACCGCUGCAAAGCUGAUGACGCCUACCCAAAU
rnacentral:ncRNA from 2 species